rnacentral:lncRNA from 1 species
AUUAGAUAUGCUGAUACAAAGUUCAAUAUAAUUCUGAAAACUUGGUGCGAUUUUCGUCUUCUGAUUGAUGUGAACGAGUGGGUAAGUUAUGAAUAUUCAGAAAAGGGUACGUAUACUCAGGACAUUCAUAACUCAUCCACUCAUUCACAUCCAUCAGAAAGAGAAAUCGCACUAGAAAUCGCGGCAAAAAUGUCAAGUGUUAAUGGGCCUUUAGCAAACCUUUAGCUUCCUUUGAACACAAUGUUGGGUAACGUUGGCUUGGCUUGGCUUGGUUUGGCAUUGUUUAAAUUUUUAUUCAACAAUAUUGGAUGAACGAGACUUUAAAUCAUAGCUUAUUAUAUACAGAGUGUACAAAAAAGUAAUCCAACGAUAAAACCAAUGAAGAUCAAGCUUUUAGCUGUCGAAUGCGUACGGGAAUUGCAAGCAAAGCUAUUGUUGUCUGAGUAUUGAAAUUAUUCUCAUUUGGAAAUUAAAUUUAAGUCGCUUGAAUCAAGAUGGCGUUUCGCGCAUGUGUAAGCCUCAAGUUUUGGAAUAUUUCUAUACUCUCAAUUUUGCAUCACAAUUCGCGAUUCCCCCUUAUUACGUUUUCGUAACGCUUUGCAUUGUGGUUAUAGUGGUAUCACUAAUAUUCAAGAUGGCUUAAUUUUUUGUCCUGUCCCGUAUCAGUGAUACCACUAUAUAACCACAAUGCAAAGCGCUAUGAAAAUGUAAUAAGGGGCAUCCUCAAUUGAGUGGCUAAAACAUUUUACAGAACUAGAAGUUUGCAAACUGAACUCCAUACGUUUCCCAAAUGAGCAACAAGCAUUUGGGCAAAUGUUCGAAAAUUGGAAUUUAACCGACCACUUUAAAUAAGAUCGUACUUGGUCAUUUUCAACGCAAUGAUUCGAUAAAGGUAUAAUUUGACAGCUAAAAACCUGAUCUUUA